UGUAAAAGGCAAACUGGCCGUGAGGUCAGGACGCAAAACUAGAGGGUCUUUCUCUGCAUCGAUGCAUGGGAAAGACAGCCAGCUGCCA
rnacentral:ncRNA from 1 species